GGACUACUGACGAGUCCCAAACAGGACGAAACAGCUGUCCAGCGC
rfam:Echinostoma caproni strain Egypt genome assembly, scaffold: ECPE_scaffold0000236